rnacentral:lncRNA from 1 species
CAAUUUUCAUAAAUUUUUGUUAAUUUUUUGUAAAUUUUUAGGAAAUAUUUUCCACUGUAAUUACUGGGCCAAGUUCAUUAUAGAUAGAGAUAAUUGUAGCAACAAGAAUGUUCAGUAAAGAAAGAUCUACAAACACAUUACCAUCACCAAAACACCAUUUUGUCAUGAAUUUAUCUGUAUCCAUUGUUAAUAUGCACAUAGACCAAGGUGAGCGAC